CUAAAAUUAACAAAAAAGAAACCCUAGGAGGGAGAGAAAAGUUACUUCAGAGCGACGGAGGAUGGAUCAUCACCUUCGUCAACAGAAUCAUCACCAAGCUAUGGAUACUUUGGUGAAUCUGUUCACCAAAGCGAACCAUGAUCUCUCUGUGGUUCACUACAAGCUGGAGAAGGAGUUUCAGCAAAUUUAUCCUAAUAAUGCAAAUCCAAUGAAGCUGUUAUAUAGGAUAAAGAAGGUACAGGAAGAUGUUCUGACCUUGAAAGAGCAAUGCCGUGAACUUUUAUCAGCCAAACAGGAGUUGAUCGACAAGGCUCGAACAACUCUUGUUGGAAACAGAAGCAUACUGCAGCGGAUGCAGGCAUCGUUGGAUGUUCCCACCACAAGUGAUGCAGAUGAUCCUGCAUUUGCUAGCUUCAACCAGCAGGCAACCAAGAUUAAGCUAAUGGCAAGGCUUUGCUUGCAAGCAAAUUCAUAAGGAGAGAUGUUACUUGGAUAGCUACUGCUUUGCCAACAAUAACCUAGAUUUUUCUCAUACUCUUGUAUUCAUUCCAUUCAUUGUUACACAUGCAUACACCAAUGAAUUUGCCAAUGCUUCAAAAGAAAGUGCUUCACCCACCUCUCCGGCUCACUUAUGCAGAUUAUUGAUGAAUGGACAGCUCAAGUCAGAUCAAGAACAGGGAACGAAGAGCAUGACUCAGAUUCUGAAGACAUAAAUAAGUUACUUUUCUCAGCCAUAGUUCAGACUAACUAAACAACUUCCCCAAGGUGUAUUUCUGGGUGCAAAAUUGUUAUAUCUCAAGGUUCUAGAAUUUUACAAUAACAAAAAAUCUGAUUAUUAUAUUGCUUAAGUUUGUAAAACUUGUCUUACCUUACUUGUAUUAGCUGUUAUCGGAUGAGAUUUUUUUGGUCAUUGACAUUCACUUGGAGACACACCAAGGGGACUCUAAACUGAAUUUGAAUCCAACAUGUUGAACCCCCCACAGCUAAUAGGAACUCUUGUCCUGAUUUUAGCCCAAGCUGUUGUCUAAUGAGAUUGUCACCAUGUAAAAUACAAGAAGACAGGUCCUGUAUAUGAGCAUUUUGUAGAUUUAGUUAUGUGA